GCCACCACCACCACCGCCGGGCCUACUUUGGAGUAAAAAAAUUAAAAAAAAAAUGGAUCCUCGCCUGGGUUUGACUCUUUCUUUCCCACUCACGACCGCCACCACCCGGGCCGCGACAGUGGGGCCCUGAAGCUACGAGGCUCUUUUCUCCCGCUUCCCCCACCCUCGUUCCCCAGACGGUGCGUUCCCACGUAAUGAUGGCGAGACACGUGUCAGGAGAUGGUGAUGGUGAUACUUUUGGCCUGGAUGAUUGAGUCUUCAUUUACAUAUUGACUAUGUGAGAAACAGACUCACCAAUCAGAAAUUUGACAGAAUCAUGAAGUGAAGCAGCAAGCAGUUUAUUGCAUGUAAAAUACGUUCUUGCAAGAGCGGGUGACUAGCAGUCACACCCUUUUCUUUCUCCUUUGAAAACGGUCACGGAAGACGACAUGACAAGAAACAACAGAUGGAAACUCAGCAAGGAGAGAAGCAACCUAGAAUUAAGGAGAAAUUUCCUCACAGUGAGAACAAUUAAUCAGUGGAACAACUCGCCUCCAGAAGUUGUGAAUGCUCCAACACUGGAAGUUUUAAAGAAGAUGUUGGAUAACUAUUUGUCUGAAGUGGUGUAGGGUUUCCUGCCUGAGCAGGGGGUUGGACUAGAAGACCUCCAAGGUCCCUUCCAACUCUGUUAUUUUGUUAUUCUGACAUAACAUAAGGGAUUAGCGCCAGACUAGGCAAAAUUAAACACAACACAGAAUAACAGAGAUGUACCUUAUACAGGUAGUCCUUGACUUACAACCACAGUUGAGGUCAAAAUUUCUGUUGCUAAGUGAGACAGUUAAGCGAGUUUUUUCCCAUUUUAUGACCUUUCUUGCCACCGCUGUUAAAUGAAUCGCUGUAGUUGUUAAAUUAGUAACAGGCUUGUUAAGUGAAUCUGGCUUCCCCAUUGAGUUUGCUUGUCGGAAGUUUGCGAAAGGGGAUCAUGUGACCCUGGGACACUGCAACCGUCAUAAAUACGAGACAAUUGGCAAGCAUCUGAAUUUUGAUCACGUGACCAUAGGGAUGCUGCAGUGAUCAUAAGUGUGAAAAGCCGUCGUAAGUCACUUUCCUCACAGUGCUGUUGUAACUUCGAACGGUCACUGAACGAACUGUUGAAAAUCGAGGACUACCUGUGUAUACAACUCAGGAUUGUAUUCCAUUUAUCUAAUGGAAUGGACCAUACAACCUUAUUUGUGAUCAUAAUAAAGGAUUAUCUUGCAAGGCUUGGUACA